UUUGUAAAAUCCAAAAAAUCGAAUUUAUAUACAAAAAUUUUUUUGUAAAAUCCAAAAAAUCGAAUUUAUAUAGAAAAAUCGUUUUGUAAAAUACAAAAAUCGAUUUUAUAUACUAAAAUCGAUUUUCUAAAUACAAAAAAAUAAAAAAAUAAUAAAAAAAUUAUAAAUCAAUUCAACAAAACAAAUUAUUCAACUAAAUCACAAUUCUAAACCUAUUAUACAACCAAAAAUCACAAUCCUAACCAAUCACCUUAACAAAAAUCUAUCAAAACUCCACAAAAACCUAACAAAUAGAAUCUAAGAGAGUGGGAUAGGGUCCUUACAUGAUUUGUGUAAGAAAAGGGGGAGAUCGCCGGAGAUAUCGUCGGAUUUCAGGGGGAAAUCGCCGGAAAAAAAGAGAGGAAUCGCGCAGAGGAAGAAGAGAGAAAUGGGGAAGAAGAAGUGGCUCGUGGUUAUAAAACCUAGGGUCCGACGGACAUUUUCCGUCGGAAUUCCGUCGGAAUUUAAAUUUCAAUUUUCGCGAAAUAUUUGCCCGG
rnacentral:lncRNA from 1 species